rnacentral:snRNA from 1 species
GUGCUCACUUCAGCAGCACAUAUACUAAAAUUGGAACGAUAUAGAGAAGAUUAGCAUGGCCCCUGCACAAGGAUGACACGCAAAUCCAUGAAGUGUUCCAUAUUUUU